GGGAGGAUAGCAGCUCAGACCCCUGCCGGAGAGUGGAUGGAGCUAGAAGAGGGUGAAAUCAGGAGGGGGAAUGGCCAGAGGGGACAGAGGCUAGGGGGCCAGGACUUGGGGGUCCACUUACCAGGCAGCUGCUGUGUGUGGUUGAGUUCCUUCUCGUACCUGGGCUGAGUAUAGGACCAGAUUCGUACCUCACUCCCUAGGGCAGCCUCGAAGCAGUCAUAUACCACAGAGCCCUGUGAGGAGAGGGGUGAGGAAGGCUGGCGGUGCAGGGCUCAGAAUCCAGGCCAAGGGCUGUGGGAUCAUCUGCAGGGACCACUCUGCUCACUGCCCUCCUCCCCCAACUAAUGACUGUAUUUAUACUGUAUAGCCUGAAAUCUACUAUUCACCUUUCUUUCAAGGGGCCUCAAUUCUAAAGCAAAUGUCCUCAGUAAGAGUGUCACCAGGGCGGGAAAAGGCCCUAGACAUUUAAAUCCCUGCACCCACCCUGCUGUGCUAGAUCACCUGGCCAAAGCUAAGGAGAUGAGACACCCCAACACAAUAUGGCACACCCCUCCCCACAGAAGUGGUUCUCACACUCAACCCAGUGCCUCAGUGUUCCUUACAACUGCUUGUGACAUGGACCAAGCAGAUGUUCUCCCAGUCUACAAUUCUCCAGAUAGGAUAUUGGCUGGGGGCUGGAGGUUGGAGGGAAAGUCAAAGGGUUUGAGUGAUUUGACCCCAGUGGAAAUAGACCUUCCAGGUACAUGUGGCCUCCUAAGGCAGGGAGAAGCCCCAACACCCUGCACCAUGGUACUUACACCAUGGUAAGUAUACCAUGGUAUGUAUGGUAGGACUCUUUCUUUGGUCCAAGAGUACAGAGAAGUGCAUCCAGCCCACAGACCUCCCCUCUCCAAGCCUCAUUUUAUCUAUCUGGAAAAUGAGGAUACUAAUAAUGCCUCAUCAGGUAGUUUUGAGGAUUACAAAAGAAUUAAAUUUAUUGAAAUUAUUCAGUGCCAGGCAUUACAUCCAGUGUUUUACAGGUACCAACUUAAUUUAAUUCUCACAACAGUCAUGUGAGGUGGGACUAUUCUUUUUUUUUGAGACGGAAUCUCGCUCUGUCGCCCAGGCUGGAGUGCAGUGGCGCGAUCUCGGCUCACUGCAAGCUCCACCUCCCGGGUUCACGCCAUUCUCCUGCCUCUGCCUCCCGAGUAGCUGGGUCUACAGGCGCCCACCACCAUGCCUGGCUAAUUUUUUGUAUUUUUUUAGUGGAGGCAGGGUUUCACAGUGUUAGCCAGGAUGGUCUCAAUCUCCUGACUUCGUGAUCUGCCCGCCUCAGCCUCCCAAAGUGCUGGGAUUACAGGUGUGAACCACUGUGCCCGGCCAGAACUAUUGUUUUUUUAUGUGGCAAAAACAAAAACAAAAACAAAAACAAAAAAACUUUAAGAGAUAUUUCACAAGGAAGUUACACAAAUAGCCAAUAAGCAUGUGAAAAAAGUGCUCAACUUCAUCAGUCAUUGGAAGAUACAAAUUAAAACCACAAUGGCAAACCACUACAUAUGCAGAAAAAUUAUGACAAUUACAACACUUAUGCUUGUUUUGGCACCACAUAUACUACAACUGGAACAAUACAGAAAAGAUUAGCAAGGCCCGUGCCUGAGGAUGACAUGCAAAUUCAUGGAGGGUCCCAUAUAUUUAAAAUUCAAAUAUAUUUAAUUUAAAAAUAAAAUAAAAUUACACCAUCAAGUGUUGGCAAAGAUGGGAAGCAACUAGGACUCCCAUACACUGCUGGUAGGAGGGGAAAAUAGUAGAAGCACCCUGAAAAACGCUUGGUGAUUUCUCGCAGUCAAGCAUAUGAAGUAGAACUAUUCUCAUCCCCAUUUUACAGACAUAAAAGCUGAGGCAUAACAGGCUGAAGGGACUUGCCCACAGCGCUGAUCAGAAUCAAAAGAAUAGUCCCACCUCACAUGGCUGUUGUGAGAAUUAAAUAAGUUGAUACCUGUAAAACACUGGCUGUAAUGCCUGGUACUGAAGGGUUUCAAUAAAUUUAAUUCUUUUGUAAUCCUCAAAGAGAUAAUGCAUGUGAAAAAGUUUUAUAGAUUUUAGGUUUAGAAGGUGAUUAUUAUUAUUUUGCAUACCACAGACUGACCAAACUGCACAAGGGCAGCAGGCACUUGCACCUCCAGCAGGACGCAGCGGGCAGUAGGGUAGGCCUGGAAGGAGAGCACGACUUGGGCCUGGAGAGAGGCUGUGGGCAACAGGGCAGGGGUCAGUCAGGCCCAGGAGCGGCAGGCCAGGCCUUGGCAUGGGGCAGUUGGGCCAGCCAGGUUCUCC
rnacentral:lncRNA from 1 species